rnacentral:tRNA from 1 species
CGGGGAGUAGCGCAGCCUGGCAGCGCACCUCGUUCGGGACGAGGGGGUCGGAGGUUCAAAUCCUCUCUCCCCGACCA